GUUUUAAAGCUUUGCUGAAGCAACGGUCUUGUAAGCCGUAGAAAACUAUAUGUUUUAAAGCU
rnacentral:tRNA from 1 species